rnacentral:rRNA from 1 species
AAGGUAUGCAAGUCGAACGAUCCCUUUCUGAUUUCUAGUAACUUCGGUUGCUAGUUUUCUAUCUGGGAUAGUGGCAAACGGGUGAGUAACACGUAGAUAACUUGCCUCGAAGUCGGGAAUAGCUCGUCGAAAGACGGGGUAAUAUCCGAUGGUCUCUAACCACUUCGUGUGUUUUAGAGUAAAGCUUUUGUGCUUCGAGAGAGGUCUGCGUCCUAUCAGCUAGUUGGUAAGGUAAUGGCUUACCAAGGCUAAGACGGGUAGCUGGUGUGAGAGCACGGUCAGCCACCAUGGAACUGAGACACGGUCCAUACUCCUACGGGAGGCAGCAAUUAGGAAUCUUGCGCAAUGGGGGCAACCCUGACGCAGCGACACAGCGUGGAGGAUGAAGGUCUUCGGAUUGUAAACUCCUUUUAUAUGGGAAGAAUAGAUGACUGUACCAUAUGAAUAAGGACCUGCUAACUACGUGCCAGAAGCAUCGGUGAUGCGUAGGGUCCGAACGUUAUCCGGAUUUAUUGGGUGUAUAGAGAUGCGUAGGCGGUUUGAUAAGUCUUGAGUUAAAGACCUCGGCUCAACCGAGGAAAAGCUUUCGAUACUAUCAGACUUGAGGCAUAGAGGGGUGAACGGAAUUCCGAGUGGAGUGGUGAAAUACGUUGAUAUUCGGAGGAACAUCAGUGGCGAAGGCGGUUCACUGGCUAUUGCCUGACGCUCAGGCUCGAAAGCGUGGGUAGCAAAACGGAUUAGAUACCCGUGUAGUCCACGCUGUAAACUAUGGAUGCUAGGUGUUCGGUACAACUGUUUUUAAUCUUCGGAUUUUAAACGGGAGUGCUGAGUGCCGCAGCUAACGCGUUAAGCAUCCCACCUGGGAAGUACGGCCGCAAGGNU